rnacentral:misc_RNA from 1 species
AAGGCUUGACAUACACCGGAAAGCAUUAGAGAUAGUGCCCCCCUUGUGGUCGGUGUACAGGUGGUGCAUGGCUGUCGUCAGCUCGUGUCGUGAGAUGUUGGGUUAAGUCCCGCAACGAGCGCAACCCUUGUUCUGUGUUGCCAGCAUGCCCUUCGGGGUGAUGGGGACUCACAGGAGACCGCCGGGGUCAACUCGGAGGAAGGUGGGGAUGACGUCAGUGCUUGCCU